rnacentral:lncRNA from 1 species
GAGAUGUGGUGUUACCAUUGCAAGCUGGAGUCAAAACAGCAGUCCACGGAGUGACAAUAUGUUAAUUCCUCCUCAAAGGAAAAGUUCAAAAUGCAGUCAUCAGCAGGUAACUGGAAGGUAACUUGAUAUGCACUGACUUUUGGUACAGGAGAGGGCUUGUAUACUUCUGGAUUUCCUGGAACCUGGGCAAGCUAUCAACUCUGAUUGCUACAUCAGAAUGCUGACUAAAUUGAAGGUUUGAACUUCCAGACAGUCAGGCCAAAGAAGAAUACAACCUAUCUUCUCCAAUGUGAUAGUGCUAGGCUCCGUACCAGUUUGAAGACCACAGAACACACAACGAAUCUUGGCUGCACUGUCCUACCACACCCACCAUAUGGUCCAGAUCUGGCACCUUCUGACUUCCAUUCAGUCAGGAUGAUGAAAGAUGAUGAAAGAUGUGGGCAACAUUUUCUUACCAAUGAUGCCAUUGAAACAAUGUGAAACAGUGGGUCAACUCCACUGGUGCAGAUUUUUACAAGUUUUACAUGCAGACUCUUGUUCAUUACUGGCAAAAUGUACAACUAAUGGUGGAGACUAUGUUGAAAAAUAGUGUUUUGUAAUUGAGAAUUUGCUUUAUCAACUAGUGUUAUUGUGCUCUUGGUUUUAUCUGAAAUUUAAUUUAAUAGGAUUUGACAGUUCUGAUGUUUGAACUAGCAUUACUUCUUCUGCUACAUCAAGAAAUAUUCCCCAAUCUGAUCUUUCUACCCUUUCUUCAAGUUUCUUCCUUUGUAUAAGCAAACUCUGAAGUGAAGUUUUAAAAGAAAAGUGGGUGUACACUACCUUGCGUUGUGCCUUCGUGCAACCAUUUUGCUUUACAUUAGCAAAAUGGCUUUGGGGACAUACAUAAACUAAAACCAAAGGCUGAAUUCCACCUUUGCAGUAUGGUAAAUGCAUAUAUUCUGUGUAGUCCUAUUUCUGAAAGUUGUCAUACUAUCUCACCAUCAUGCGAAUUCUCCUCAAAUGUAUUGUUUAUACUCUGCAGGAGUCAAAGGGGACAUGGGGCUGCCUGGUUUUCCUGGGCCACCAGGUAUGAAAGGUCAUCAGGGUGACCAAGGACCCAUUGGACCUCCUGGCUUAAUGGGAUUACCUGGAUUUCAAGGAGCAACAGGCAUGGCAAUUACUGGCCCAAAAGGCAUUCCUGGUGCAGAUGGAAGACCAGGUAUUCCUGGUUUUCAAGGGCUGCCUGGUCUUCCCACUAUGAGCAUAAAAGGAAGCAAAGGUGUUAGAGGAGCAGAUGGCAUACCAGGACCAAUGGGCCCAGCUGGUGAUAGUGGUCCUCCGGGUCCAAAAGUCAGUGAAAGGAAUGCUACAUGUUUCUUUUACAUUGAAAACAUUGAAAACAGUGUUUCAAUUGUAAAUUUCAUUCUUACCAUGAAAAUAACACCCAAAGUGAAAGAAAGAAAUGUGUAA